GAAAUUGUGUUGACGCAGUCUCCAGGCACCCUGUCUUUGUCUCCAGGGGAAAGAGCCACCCUCUCCUGCAGGGCCAGUCAGAGUGUUAGCAGCAGCUACUUAGCCUGGUACCAGCAGAAACCUGGCCAGGCUCCCAGGCUCCUCAUCUAUGGUGCAUCCAGCAGGGCCACUGGCAUCCCAGACAGGUUCAGUGGCAGUGGGUCUGGGACAGACUUCACUCUCACCAUCAGCAGACUGGAGCCUGAAGAUUUUGCAGUGUAUUACUGUCAG
rnacentral:lncRNA from 1 species